rnacentral:tRNA from 1 species
GGGUGUAACUCAGUAGCAGUGUGCAUGCCUAGCAUGCAUGAGGUCCUGGGUUCAAUCCCCAGUACUUCCA